UAUUGAACGCAUAUUGCGGCCAUGGGUCCGUCCUGUGGCCACGCCCGUCUGAGGGUCGGCGACGUUCUACCCAUCGCUGGGAGGCUCUUGCCCAGCGCCUUGAGCUUUCGUAGCGAACUGUCAGUGCUCUCUGCAGUUGGCUCCGUGGCUUGAAAUGCAGACCCGGCCUGGCCGAACUCCUUUUUUGCCUUGCUUUUGCUGAAGGUGCUUGUGGAGGGGAAAGAAGUCCUCGUGCAAGCAAAGGACAUGGCUUGGAUUGUCAUAUCAUGUCUUUGCUAACGCGUCCCCACAGCCUAUAAUACCCGGCAAAGCUGGCAUCACAUUUCCGACCUCAGAUCGGACGAGAUUACCCGCUGAAUUUAAGCAUAUCAC
rnacentral:rRNA from 1 species